rnacentral:rRNA from 1 species
AUUGAACGCUUGCGGCAGGCCUAACACAUGCAAGUCGAGCGGUAGCACAGAGAGCUUGCUCUCGGGUGACGAGCGGCGGACGGGUGAGUAAUGUCUGGGAAACUGCCUGAUGGAGGGGGAUAACUACUGGAAACGGUAGCUAAUACCGCAUAACGUCGCAAGACCAAAGUGGGGGACCUUCGGGCCUCAUGCCAUCAGAUGUGCCCAGAUGGGAUUAGCUAGUAGGUGGGGUAAUGGCUCACCUAGGCGACGAUCCCUAGCUGGUCUGAGAGGAUGACCAGCCACACUGGAACUGAGACACGGUCCAGACUCCUACGGGAGGCAGCAGUGGGGAAUAUUGCACAAUGGGCGCAAGCCUGAUGCAGCCAUGCCGCGUGUGUGAAGAAGGCCUUCGGGUUGUAAAGCACUUUCAGCGGGGAGGAAGGCGGUGAGGUUAAUAACCUCAUCGAUUGACGUUACCCGCAGAAGAAGCACCGGCUAACUCCGUGCCAGCAGCCGCGGUAAUACGGAGGGUGCAAGCGUUAAUCGGAAUUACUGGGCGUAAAGCGCACGCAGGCGGUCUGUCAAGUCGGACGUGAAAUCCCCGGGCUCAACCUGGGAACUGCAUUCGAAACUGGCAGGCUAGAGUCUUGUAGAGGGGGGUAGAAUUCCAGGUGUAGCGGUGAAAUGCGUAGAGAUCUGGAGGAAUACCGGUGGCGAAGGCGGCCCCCUGGACAAAGACUGACGCUCAGGUGCGAAAGCGUGGGGAGCAAACAGGAUUAGAUACCCUGGUAGUCCACGCCGUAAACGAUGUCGAUUUGGAGGUUGUGCCCUUGAGGCGUGGCUUCCGGAGCUAACGCGUUAAAUCGACCGCCUGGGGAGUACGGCCGCAAGGUUAAAACUCAAAUGAAUUGACGGGGGCCCGCACAAGCGGUGGAGCAUGUGGUUUAAUUCGAUGCAACGCGAAGAACCUUACCUGGUCUUGACAUCCACAGAACUUUCCAGAGAUGGAUUGGUGCCUUCGGGAACUGUGAGACAGGUGCUGCAUGGCUGUCGUCAGCUCGUGUUGUGAAAUGUUGGGUUAAGUCCCGCAACGAGCGCAACCCUUAUCCUUUGUUGCCAGCGGUCCGGCCGGGAACUCAAAGGAGACUGCCAGUGAUAAACUGGAGGAAGGUGGGGAUGACGUCAAGUCAUCAUGGCCCUUACGACCAGGGCUACACACGUGCUACAAUGGCAUAUACAAAGAGAAGCGACCUCGCGAGAGCAAGCGGACCUCAUAAAGUAUGUCGUAGUCCGGAUUGGAGUCUGCAACUCGACUCCAUGAAGUCGGAAUCGCUAGUAAUCGUAGAUCAGAAUGCUACGGUGAAUACGUUCCCGGGCCU